UGCAGUCGUACGAGAACACCCUAGCUUGCUAGGGUAAGUAAAGUGGCGCACGGGUGAGUAACGCGUGGGUAAUCUACCUUCGAAUUGGGGAUAACGUUGCGAAAGCGACGCUAAUACCGAAUAACAUCCAUUAAUCUUCGGGUUUUUGGAUCAAGGGUGGCCUCUACAUGUAAGCUACUGUUUGAAGAUGAGCCCGCGUACCAUUAGCUUGUUGGUGGGGUAAUGGCCUACCAAGGCAGCGAUGGUUAGCUGGUCUGAGAGGAUGAUCAGCCACACUGGAACUGACACACGGUCCAGACUCCUACGGGAGGCAGCAGUGAGGAAUUUUGCGCAAUGGGGGAAACCCUGACGCAGCAACGCCGCGUGAGUGAUGAAGGCUUUCGGGUCGUAAAGCUCUGUCAAGUGGGAAGAACCUGCAGUAUGCUAAUAUCAUAUUGCACUGACGGUACCACUGAAGGAAGCACCGGCUAACUCCGUG
rnacentral:rRNA from 1 species